rnacentral:rRNA from 1 species
GAUGAACGCUGGCGGCGUGCCUAAUACAUGCAAGUCGAGCGAACAGACGAGGAGCUUGCUCCUCUGACGUUAGCGGCGGACGGGUGAGUAACACGUGGAUAACCUACCUAUAAGACUGGGAUAACUUCGGGAAACCGGAGCUAAUACCGGAUAAUAUAUUGAACCGCAUGUUUCAAUAGUGAAAGACGGUUUUGCUGUCUCUUAUAGAUGUAUCCGCGCCGCAUUAUCUAGUUGGUAAGGUAACGGCUUACCAAGGCAACGAUGCGUAGACGACCUGAGAGGGUGAGCGGACACACUGGAACUGAGAAACGGUGCAGACUACUACGGGAGGCAGCAGUAGGGAAUAUUACGCAAUGGGCGAAAGCAUGACGGAGCAAAGCCGCGUGAGUGAUGAAGGUCUUCGGAUCGUAAAACUCUGUUAUUAGGGAAGAAAAAAUGUGUAAGUAACUAUGCACGUAUUGACGGUACCUAAUCAGAAAGCCACGGCUAACUACGUG